rnacentral:lncRNA from 1 species
GAUAAUUUGCUCUUUUGUCUCUAGUUUUCAUAUCCUCAUUUCGUGGAAGGAGAGGCUAGGUGACUCUCCGAACAGAAGUCAGAGUAUCCUGCUGCGUGGGGACAGUGUGGUGUGUGUCUGCUGGUGGAAGCCAAUGAACCAGCUAUAUAAGGAGUACAAUCGAUGACAUAGAAAAAAGAACUAAGAAGAUGAAAGAUGAUCGGUCUUCACAUUCUCCCCAGGGCACAUCCAGCGGUGUUUCAGUUGUCUCUUGAAGGACGACAAACUAUGCCAAACUUAGUGGCUUAAAAC